rnacentral:rRNA from 1 species
CGGAUGUCACUUAUACCAUGGGCCCGCGGCGCACUAGCUAGUUGGUGAGGUAAUGGCUCACCAAGGCGACGAUGCGUAGCCGACCUGAGAGGGUGAUCGGCCACACUGGGACUGAGACACGGCCCAGACUCCUACGGGAGGCAGCAGUAGGGAAUCUUCCGCAAUGGACGAAAGUCUGACGGAGCAACGCCGCGUGAACGAAGAAGGCCUUCGGGUCGUAAAGUUCUGUUGUUAGGGAAGAACAAGUACCAGAGUAACUGCUGGUACCUUGACGGUACCUAACCAGAAAGCCACGGCUAACUACGUGCCAGCAGCCGCGGUAAUACGUAGGUGGCAAGCGUUGUCCGGAAUUAUUGGGCGUAAAGCGCGCGCAGGUGGUUCCUUAAGUCUGAUGUGAAAGCCCACGGCUCAACCGUGGAGGGUCAUUGGAAACUGGGGAACUUGAGUGCAGAAGAGGAAAGUGGAAUUCCAAGUGUAGCGGUGAAAUGCGUAGAGAUUUGGAGGAACACCAGUGGCGAAGGCGACUUUCUGGUCUGUAACUGACACUGAGG